UCAAUUUAUAAAGAAAGAAACUAAAAAGAAUAUUCCAAAUUGCAAAAUGAAACCCGCGAAAAGAAAGAAAUCCUAUUAAAAUUCCAUUUCGAAUAACAUGCAGAUAAUAUACUAUAAGCACACAUCCUCUCUCACACAUACACGUAAUUAGCCAUUUGUUGCAGUUUGCUCACAGGACUACCCGUGAUAACACUCUAGUCGCUUGUUAUGCUGAUGAUUCAAUGCUUUGCCCCUACGAAUAUUCAAAAACUCUACGUUAACUCAAAGACACAAGAGACACAAAUACAAGAAACAUGGGAAUAACAUAUAAUUCCAUUUUUAUGUUAGGAUGGAAUUCAUAUGCUUAUUAUAAUUAUUGUAUUUCCAUGUGUACAACGAGCCGAUCAGAUUAUGUGGUUUCUGAUCGGCCUAGACAUAUACGAAUGGAGACUAAAAACCAGUCUUAAUUUUGUGGCGCGUACAUUUUAUUAAAUUUCAUACAUUUCAAAUAGUUCUACUACAAUAGCUCAGGCAACCUUCAACGAUUGGUAUGGCCAUGUCAUGACCAGCUGGGAUAGACCAGAAAUUCACUCUG